GAUGAACGCUGGCGGCGUGCUUGAUACAUGCAAGUCGAACGGAGAGUGUAGCAAUAUACUUUUAGUGGCGAACGGGUGAGUAACGCGUUGGUGACCUGCCCCGAAGCGAGGGAUAACAGUUCGAAAGAACUGCUAAUACCUCAUGUGAUCACCGGUUUUAGAAUCUGGUGAUUAAAGGUGAAAUCACUUCGGGAGGGGCCUGCGUCCCAUCAGCUAGUUGGUAAGGUAAUGGCUUACCAAGGCGAUGACGGGUAGGGGACCUGAGAGGGUGGCCCCCCACAAUGGAACUGAAACACGGUCCAUACACCUACGGGUGGCAGCAGUAGGGAAUAUUGCAAAUGGGCGAAAGCCUGAUGUAGCAACGCCGCGUGUGCGAUGAAGGUCUUCGGAUUGUAAGCAACUUUUUGGAGGGAUGAGGAAGGACAGUACCUCCAGAAUAAGCCUCGGCUAACUACGUGCCAGCAGCCGCGGUAAGCUAGUCUACG
rnacentral:rRNA from 1 species